rnacentral:rRNA from 1 species
CACGUAGGGUGCGAGCGUUGUCCGGAAUUAUUGGGCGUAAAGAGCUUGUAGGCGGUUUGUCGCGUCUGCUGUGAAAAAUCCGGGGCUCAACCCCGGACUUGCAGUGGGGUACGGGCAGACUAGAGUGUGGUAGGGGAGACUGGAAAUUCCUGGUGUAGCGGGUGGAAUGCGCAGAUAUCAGGAGGAACACCGGUGGCGGAAGGCGGAUCUCUGGGCCUUACCUGACGCUCAGGUGCGAAAGCUAGGGAGGCGAACAGGA